rnacentral:rRNA from 1 species
AGCGGCGAACGGGUGCUUAACACGUGGGCAACCUGCCGAGAAGUGGGGGAUAGCUCGCCGAAAGGCGAAUUAAUACCGCAUGUGAUCAGAGAGGACAUCCUUUCGAAAUUAAAGUCGGGGCAACCUGACGCUUUUUGUGGGGCCCGCGGCCUAUCAGCUAGUUGGUGAGGUAACGGCCCACCAAGGCUUUGACGGGUAGCUGGUCUGAGAGGACGACCAGCCACACUGGGACUGAGACACGGCCCAGACACCUACGGGUGGCAGCAGUCGAGAAUUUUUCUCAAUGGGGGAAACCCUGAAGGAGCGACGCCGCGUGGAGGAUGAAGGUCUUCGGAUUGUAAACUCCUGUCAUUGGGGAACAAUGCGUGACGGUUAACUGCCGUCGCGUUGAUAGUACUCGAAGAGGAAGAGACGGCUAACUCUGUGCCAGCAGCCGCGGUAAUACAGAGGUCUCAAGCGUUGUUCGGAUUCAUUGGGUGUAAAGGGUGCGUANGCGGCGCGGUAAGUCGGGUGUGAAAUCUUGGAGCUUAACUCCGAAACUGCAUUCGAUACUGCCGUGCUUGAGNACUGG